CUUUGGCCGGGCCGUGGGAGCGGGGACGCACCCACCCCUGGCACGGCUCCAGCCACCGGCGAGGUCCCGGCCGGCCCCGUGCCCACGCGGUCGGUGCCCGGCGCUGCACGUGGCGGGCUCUGCCCCCGGCCCCGCACGGGACAGCCGCUGGCAGCCGGACCUCGGCCACGGGACACCGGGGCCGUCCCGGCCGGGGCCGGGGGCCAGGCGGUGCCGUUGGCGCUGAGGAAGGCGGCGCUGGCGCGGAGCGAGGAAGGGGGGUGCCGGGUGCUGGCUCCAGCCCCCGGAUCUCCCGGUGCUCCAACGGCUGCGGGUGGCUGCGGGCCAGGAGCCGUGGCUGGAGCAAAAUAUUUACCCGCGUGGCACGGUGCCACGGAGCAGCCUCCCGCCCGCCCAGCCCCGUACGGCCCCGUACGGCCCCGUGCGCCCGCACCAAGGUGCAAACAGCCCCCUGCGUCCUCGUGGGCACGGGCUGUGGGGGCCGAGCCCCCGCGUGGGCACAGCCCAGGGAAGAAUGGUGCGGAGAGGGAUGGGGGGGGGGUGAAGCUGGGCUCCCUCGGCUGCCCCGUGCCAGGUGCCAGGCCCCGAGCAUCGUCCCCGUCCCCAUCCCCGUGUGGGACCCGCGGUUGUUAUGGCAACAGGUCCCCGGGCUCCUUCCCGCUGCCGUUCCCGCUCCUCCCGCACGUGAAGGCGCAGAGCGAGGGGGUGGCCGGGUCCCCUCCCCGCGCUGCGGCAGCGCGAGCACCCACGGGCCCCGGGAACGGCCCCCGGGAACGGCCCCCGCCUGCGCCCACGCGGCCCCGCGGCACGGCCGGGCCGGGUGCAGGGGUGCGCCGGUGGUCGUGGCACCGGCACCGUGCCGGGGAGGGGACGCGGUGCCCCGGCCCCUGCCCCGACACCGUGCCACGACCUGGCGAUGGACGUGGCCCCGCUCUUGUGGGGUCGGCCUCGGCCAGGCCCUGCAGGCACCCAGGCCGCUGCCGUGCUGUGCCGUGCCAUGCCGUGCCGUGCCAUGCUGCGGGGGCUGCAGCUCCUCACGGCAGCGAAUAUUCCUGCAGAGAAAGUAAAAAUAGCAGCAGCAGGGCUCGGGGAAGCGACGCUCGGCCCCCAACCGUGGAGGAGCGGGAGCCUUCGCCACCGGCACGGGGACGACGGGGACUUGGGGACGGGGCGGAAGGGCGGACGGGGCGCCGUGGGGGAACGGGGUGCUGCGGGGACACCGUGGGAACGGGGAGGUGGAGGGUUGGGGUACGGGGGGACAGCGUCCUGGGGACUGGACGCCAUGGGGAUGGCGCGUCCUGGGGACGGGGGACCAAGGGGACAGGGGACCAAGGGGACGGAGCACCCUGGGGACGGGGCGCCACGGGGAUGGAGCACCCUGGGGCCAGGUCCCCGUGGGGAUGGGGCGUCGCGGGGCCAGGGCAGGCCAGGCACGGGGCGCCGGGGGGCCGGGAGGUUGCUGGGACUGGGACCGAAAGGUGA
rnacentral:lncRNA from 1 species